UACGAAGGGGGCUAGCGUUGUUCGGAAUUACUGGGCGUAAAGGGCGCGUAGGCGGCUCUGUGCGUCGGGCGUGAAAGCCCUGGGCUCAACCUGGGAAUGGCAUUGGAUACUGGCGACCUAGAGUGCGGUAGAGGGUGGCGGAAUUCCCGGUGUAGCAGUGAAAUGCGUAGAUAUCGGGAGGAACAUCCGUGGCGAAGGCGGCCACCUGGACCAGCACUGACACUGAGGCACGAAAGCGUGGGGAGCAAACAGG
rnacentral:rRNA from 1 species